GGAAGGAUGGCAGAGCGGUGAUUGCACAGAUUUGCUAAAUUUGCGGGGCGAAAGUCCCACGGGAGUUCGAAUCUCCCUCCUUCCG
rnacentral:tRNA from 1 species